rnacentral:tRNA from 1 species
GGGCGGUUAGCUCAGCGGUAGAGCACUUCGUUGACAUCGAAGGGGUCACAAGUUCAAUCCUUGUACCGCCCACCA